rnacentral:lncRNA from 1 species
CAACCUGAAACACAGACAAUUCCAUCUGAACAGGAGGAAAUACUUUUUCACUGUGAGGGUGACAGAGCACUGCAACAGGUUGCCCAGAGAGGUUGUGGAGUCUCCUUCUCUGGAGAUAUUCAAAACCCGCCUGGAUGCAAUCCUGUGCAGUGUGCUCUAGGUGACCCUGCUUGAGCAGGGGGGUUGGACWAGAUGAUCUCCAGAGGUCCCUUCCAACCUCAGCGAUUCUGUGAUUCUGCGAUUCUGUGUUUCGACCCUGUGGGCAGAGGACAGGGAACGAGGCCAGGGCAAGAUGGGGGGUGUGGACCAUGGGGAGGGUCCUGUGAGGGAAAGCUGUGGGCCGACAGCCUGUAACUGGGGCCUGCUUGAGGUUGGUGUGGCCCAGGCCCUGAGCCAGCUGCAGGCGGAGCAGCGCCCUCCUUGUCUCUGCUUUGUUCCUAGCCAUUCUUGGCCCUCUCCAUUGCUCCCCCACGGCCAACAGCCCCUCACCCUGUUCUCCUUUCCAGAGCGGCCAGCAAGCAGGAGAGCAGCUUUUCCCUAUUCCCUAGGCAUUGCCUAGCCCUCUUUCCAGGGGCUACGCAGGGCUCCAGAGCCAGGACACCCUCACAGCCGUUCUGGAAGAAAAGGGAAAGGAAGCUUGUCCUUUUGGGGGCGCCACGCUCCUUCUCUGCUGAUGCCUCUGCCCAGGGUCGGCCAGGCCCAGAUCUGGGUCCCCCCUUCUCCUCCCCAAAAGGGGCUGUGACAGUGGGGGGGGGCGGGUCGGAUGGGGGAGGGCAGAGUUGGCAGAGCUGCUGCGGCAAGGGGCUGCGAUCCCGGUGCAGGCAGGAGCAGAGGCGAGGGUGGCUCAGCUCUGCUCCUCUCCGCCUCCCGCCGGGGCUGCUUUGCCCUCGGCACUAGCCUAUGGCCGCGGCUCCCGGCCAGGCAGGGCCUGAUGCCGCCCAGGAUGGUGCGUUGGCUCCUGGCUCUGUCCUUCGCAGAGAUGCUGGCAGCAGUCACUGUCCAGGUGGCCUUGGAGCAACACCGUGGGGAACUGGCAGUGCGAGAAGGUGAGGGAGGCACCUUCCAGUGCAGCAUGAGCAGCUACUACAUGUUCUGUUACUGGCAGGGGGUGCAGGGCUUUCUGGCCUGCAGGACAGCAAUUUCUACGUAGAGGGUUUCUGGGUUUGCUUUGAGG